rnacentral:rRNA from 1 species
GAAGAUGCGAGCGUUAUCCGGAUUUAUUGGGUUUAAAGGGAGCGUAGGCGGAGAGACAAGUCAGUUGUGAAAGUUUGCGGCUCAACCGUAAAAUUGCAGUUGAAACUGUUUUUCUUGAGUGCACAUGAGGAUGGUGGAAUUCGUAGUGUAGCGGUGAAAUGCUUAGAUAUUACGAAGAACUCCGAUUGCGAAGGCAGCUGUCUGGGGUGCAACUGACGCUGAGGCUCGAAAGUGUGGGUAGCAAA